CUGGUUUCAAUGAUUUUGGUUUUUGAAGUUUUUUUUUUUCAAAAGCUGCAAUAUUUUUUCCCUCCCUGAUGUUUUCAUAUAUGUAUUUCCUUAUUUUCCCUUUAGAAGAGUCUACCAGCACUGAAACAGUUUCUCUUGAACAGCCAGCAUUCUGUUCUACAAAGAUAGCAGCCACUUGGGCUACUGAAAAUCACACCCCAUUCUGCCUCUGGGAAUGUUCCUUCUGCUGUCAUGAGCCAGAUUGUGGGUGUAAGGCAGCCCAACAGCUUGUGCCCCCCCAUCAGACCAAGUGUAACCCAGCCUCCUUGGACAAAGAUGGCACUCCCAACUGGGGCGAGAUCUGUGUUUCUGUAGUGAUUACAUCUGCCCUCCUUAUAAACUGGUGACUUGGUGACCUUUUCAACUGAUAACUUCUACAUCUUGGUCUAGAUCAGAAAUGACAAGCAGGAGGAGCUCAAAAAGGCCUGAGGAGUCUUACAUGAACAGAAGCAGAGUGAAAUGAGUAGAACCUGGAGAAGAUGUACACACAGUGACAGUAUGGAAGGCACCAACAAUACAAGCCAAUAAAGGUCCUGAGGAGUUUGGUGGGUCUCUACAAAUAAGAAGCACAAAGGCCGCUCUCAGGAACUGAGCCUUCAGAAUUGGCAGAGCAUCUUGGCUAGGAAAGAGAAGCUAUACUGAUUUUCACCUGUCCCACCCUAGUCGUUGAGAACCACUUGUAGAAAAGCAGUUUUCAAGCUUUCCUACAGACCUUAUAGUUUAAGGUAAAUAAUCUUUACAGAUUAUUUUUUGUUAACAUUUUCCAACUUUUCAAAGGUGGAGAUCAAUGCAGUCACACUUCCAUGAUAGGUGAUGGGUGAGAGCAUUAAUAGUCAAGGAGGAAGGAGGAAUCUGAAUGAUCCAAUGUUGCUUCUCCAAAUUGCUUUUUUUUGAAAACUUUGCUUGACCUUUUCUACUGUGGGGUGUGGUAGGGAGUGGGAGUGUCUGAAAAGGACCGGGUGUGGAAAAUGGGGACAGAGUGAGAGAACUAAACAAGUCUGUUCAUUUUGUGCAUGGGAAUUCUGACAAAAAAAUACGAUCAAAGCAACUCAUUUAGGGGUGUGCUUAUGGGCCUAUAUUUACUUUAAGGCAAGGAUUCUUAACUUUUGUGUCUCAUGUUUCUCUUUGGCAG